rnacentral:lncRNA from 1 species
UGAUCCCUAGCCUGGAAACUUCCAUAUGCUGCAGAUGUAGCCCUAAAAAGACCAAAAAAAAAAAAAAAGGUAAGGAGCUCACCUUUGAACACAGCUCAGAUGUUGUUGGAAAGCUUCUGUUACAAGAAAGUUUGAAGAGAAAAAGCCAUUGACUGGAGGGGUAGUUCAGAGUAGUAGUUUGGAUCCUGGUUUCAAAUCCUGGCUUUAUCCCUUAUCAGCUGUGUGACUUUAAACAAGUUGUCUAACCUCUCAGUUAUAACAUGAGUGUAAUAAUUGCACCACUAUUACAAUGUUAUAAAAAUUAAAUUAGUAGUUAUAAAAUGCUUAGAGUAGAACCAGCUACAUAGUAAACUAGUUAGAUUGAUGCUAGAAAUAUAAAUAGAUAGAUAGAUAGGAAUAAAAAGUAAAAAAAAAAAAGAAAGCAAGUGUUCAAGGAAGCUUCCAUUAUGCCAGUGUUCAAAUUCCAAUACCAAUACUAGCUUUCCAGAAUAUUCCAUCUGAAUUCUAAGAAAGCACUUAAUAUUGUUGAUUAAAUAUUUAAAUUACAUUUAUUAUAGCUAGUCUUGUGUUCAUUUUUAGAUAGGCCAAAUUUAUGAGGCAGCAAAGUUGUAAUAUUACGUGUGAUGGGUACAGUUUUAUAGCGCAUUUGGGCCCCUUGUAUAAUCAACAUGUUCCUUUCUGCCCAUUUGAUAGGACCAGGGAUAUAAUGAUGAUAUUUUAAAUUAUUAUACAGGCCUAACAUUGUUCUAUCUUCGCCUUUAUAGCAUAUUGUGGAUCAUAUCUCUGAUUUAUUUGAAAAACAAAUCCUUGUUCAGGAACACAAUUUCCAAUUACAAAAUUACUCCUAGGGGAAAAUACAAGCUGUUUUAUGGUGUGAUUUCCAAGAAUGCAUUGUGGUGUGAAGUAGAAAUUACCUACAUCAAUUUUGCUUUCUUUUAUUUAUUUGCAAACAGAUCGGCACAAAAUGUGUUUCCGGGUCCUAUUAUCUGGGCUCCGGUUUUAUUUCUUUGCUCAUGUUCUCACCUUGUACCUGUCACCAGUCUCUUAUCUUUUUGUCUGAUUUUAAGUCUUUGGUUAAAUGUAUUGUCCAGGCAGCCACUUCUUCCCACUGGGUUUUAUUGUUUAUUGUUACCGAGUCCCUAUUUUCUCUGCCAGUCUUCCUUUUACGCAGAAUAUCUGUCUUGAGCGUCCAUUCU